rnacentral:lncRNA from 1 species
AAUUAGAUAAUAUUUAUUAUUAAUAGAAUUUGAAGAAUUUGAAAUUCUUAGUAUAGAUCUAAGUAUCUAUAUAUCUAAAUCUAACUGAGUACGUAUAAUAAGAAUAAGUGCAAAGAAUGUAGAACUAAAUAAAUGGACUUAUUCAUCUCUUACAUGAGAAAGAUAUGUAUCAUAAUAAACUUUAUUAUUCAUUUCUUUGUCUUUUGUUCUUGUCUUCUAAUUUUCUAAAAAUAGAUAAAGAGAUUAUCGAAAGAUUCGUUCGAAUCCGACCCAACAUGAAUUUUUAGCUAAAAUGGUUUUUAGGGAGAUAGAGAAAGAUACAAAACUCUAUUAUCUAUAUUUUAAUUUCAAAUUAUAUACCUAAGACAAGAAGAAAUUCGUUUUAUUUUCCUAAUUUCACGAAAGGAAGAACUCACUCUUGGUGAUAAAGGCUUCUUGAUUCGUAAUCAGGAAUAUAGGUCAAAAAAGAGUUAUCCUCAACUUUAGUUUUGAUUCUUUCUACAAUUAGAUCUUCUAUCACCAAAGAAAGGGCCAUUAUUAUCUUAUUUACUUUAUCUUAUUUACUUUGAUUCCGAUAAACUAACUACUUUUUUGCUACAAACACAAAUAAAAUAAAAUAAUGGCCUUAGUGCUCUACUUGAUUUUGCUUGACUUUUGAUUCAAAGGAAAAAAGGCGUGGAGCUUAAAUAACUCACUCAGAACGCUUUUUAAAAGAUUACGUGGUACAAUUAGGUCGAAUAAACCCUUCUGGAAUAAGUAUUCAGCUACUUGUGAACCUUCGGGUACUGUUUUAUUCAAUGUUUGUUCAAUUACUCUUUUACCUGCAAAUGCAAUGUAGGCAUUGGGUUCGGCAAUAAUGAUAUCCCCCAACAUACCAAAACUAGCUGUCACUCCACCAGUUGUCGGAGAUGUAAGGAUUGAUACAUAAAAUAAUUUUUUAUUUAAUUGAUAAUCAUAUAAAGCAGACGAUAUUUUAGCCAUUUGCAUCAAGCUCAAACUUCCUUCCUGCAUGCGCGCCCCCCCAGAAGCACACACUAUAAUAAGAGGUAAAAUUUGAUUGGCAGCGUGUUCAAUCAAACGGGUGAUUUUCUCUCCGACUACGGAUCCCAUACUACCCCCCAUAAACUGAAAAUCCAUAACCCCAAUUGCUACGGGAAUGCCGUUUAUUUGGCCUAUGCCUGUUUGAACAGCCUCGGUUAAUCCUGUCUUUCUUUGAUAAGAAUCAAUACGAUCUUUAUAAGGCUCCUCUUCCGAAUGAAAUUCAAUGGGAUCCAGAGAGACCAUGUCUUCAUCCAUAGGAUCCCAAGUACCCGGAUCGACCAAAAGUUCAAUUCUAUCCGAACUACUCAUUUUCAAAUGAUAUCCACAUUGUUCACAAAUAUUCAUUUUUGAUUUAAAAAAUUUCUUAUAAUUUAAUCCAUAACAAUUCUCGCAUUGAACCCACAAAUGCCUGUAUUUUUGAGUUACCUCGAGAUCAUUAGAACUUUCUCUUAUAGUUAAAUCACUGCCAUUAGUUAAAUCACUGCCAAUAGUUAAAUCACUGCCAAUAGUUAAAUCACUGCCAAUAGUUAAAUCACUGCCAAUAGUUAAAUCACUGCCAAUAGUUAAAUCACUGCCAAUAGUUAAAUCACUGCCAAUAGUUAAAUCACUGCCAAUAGUUAAAUCACUGCCAAUAGUUAAAUCACUGCCAAUAGUUAAAUCACUGCCAUUAGAACUUUCUCUUAUAGUUAAAUCACUGCCCUUUGUGCGAGUUUGUAUACUGGAACCCUCGUUUUCACUACUAUUUUUACUUUCACCACCACAAACGGCCCUAUAAAUGUAACUGUCACUGUAAUUCUCACUACCACUUAUAAUGGAAGUAUCUAUACAGAUUUGAGACUGAAGAUAAUUAUCAAUGCAACUAUUAAUGUGAUUAUUCCAACUAUAUUGAGUAUCAUACAUGUAAGAAUUAUAGUAGGGAUCUUCGCCCCUAAAUCCAUUAUUCAGAUAACUCGAGUUUCGAUAACUAUAAAAAGAACUUUCUAGUUCACUCAGAAAAGAAUGAUCGUUGUCAAUCUCAAAAAUCUGAUUUUCAAUAUCAAAAUAGAUGGAAUAACUGUCUCCAUUCCUAUCACUAACUACAAAAGUGUCAUCAGAGAUGAAAUUCCGAAUGUCUUUAACGCCGAAUAAAUAAUCAACAUUACUGCAACUAGGAAUGUUUUUCACUUUUCGAUUUGGAUCUUCACUGGUAUUUUCAAUAGGACCAAGACUGCCCAUUGAUUUAUUUAGCCCACACCUGCGUUCGAACUCCUUCUUAAACAACAUCGAAUUAAACCACCAUCUUUCCAUAGAGUUUUCUUGCCCCCUAUUUGCAUGAAAAUACAAUAGAUGAAUAGUCAUUCGCUAUAAAAUUAUUUAUUUGAAUAUCUUAUUUCCUAUCAGACUAAGCAUAGAAAUCCAAUCACUAGGAUUAUUAGUAGGAUUAUUAGUGAGUAUUGAAAAAAAGUUCUGAAUCUGGGGGAACACUUCACUAUAUAUUAAUAUGUCGGAACCCCCUUUUAUUAUUUUAUUAUUAAAAAUAAUAUAAAUAUAAUAAAAUAAUAUUUGAUAAAGGGCGGCUUCUCCUAUGUCGUGUCAAAUUCACAUCGAAAAAAGAGAUUUGUCCUCUCCUAUACUCCUAUAAAGAAAUCAAAAAAUUUUUCUUAAAAUCUCGUCUAAUACUAAUAUCUAAUCACUAACUAAUCUAAAAUCUAAUAAAAUAAUAAGUAAUAAAUUAAGCUUCCAUUUCAACACGGAACGGAACAAAGGGGACAAUAUACAGGAUGGGUAGAAAGAGUUGUGCUACUUGGCUUGAUUCAGGGAAACUACAAACUACAGGAUAGAAAAAAAUAUACCAAUCCUAAGAAUCCAUAGGAUUUAUUGUGGAUCCAAGACAACAAUAGAAAGAUUUGAGUCUUAGAUUUUUAUUUAGUUUUCUAGAUUUUGUAUUUCAAAUCUUGUCUAUCUAGGUAAGUAUAUAUUUAGUCAAAAUAUAUGCAAUAGAAUUUUUGUUGUAUUCUGCUCAAUCCUUUUAGUAAAAGAUUGGGCUGAGUUUAAUUGCAAUUCAAUUAAGAGAACGAAGGAUAAUUACUUGAGUUUUUUCUCCUUAUCCUUCGUUAUUUCCUUCUAAUUAAUCUGCUAAUGUCUGCUGUUUUUACUUAUCCAAAACGUCCACUGCUGCAAAAUUAAAUCUGAUCUCUUUCCAUAUCUCAGAAGCAGCAGCUAGUUUCGGGCUCCAUUUGGAAGCCUCGUGAAUAGUCUCAUUACCUUCCUGAGUAAGAUUGCGUCCUUCAUUACGAGCUUUUACACAUGCUUCUAGAGCUACUCGAUUAGCUAUGGAAACUGGAACAUUACCCCAAGGAUGUCCUAAAGUUCCUCCACUGAACUGUAGUAUGGAAUCAUCCCCAAAGAUCUCGGUUAGAGUAAGCAUAUGCCAAACAUGAAUACCUCCUAAAGCCACAGGUAGAACACCUGGUAAAGAGACCCAAUCUUGAGUGAAACAAAUACCGCAACUUCGAUCUUGUUCAAUAAAAUCAUCACGCAAUAAAUCAACAAAGCCCAAAGUUAUGUCUCUUUCACCUUCAAGUUUACCUACUACGGUACCAGCGUAAAUAUGAUCUCCACCAGACAUACGUAACACAUUUGCUAAUACCCGAAAAUGCAUACCAUGAUUUUUCUGUCUAUUAAUAACAGCAUGCAUUGCACGGUGGAUGUGAAGAAGUAGACCAUUAUCUCAGCAAUAAUGAGCCAAGCUAGUAUUUGCGGUGAACCCCCCCAUUAAGUAGUUAUGCAUUAUGAUCGGAACGCCUAAUUCUCUAGCAAAUACAGCUCUUUUCAUCAUUUCUUCGCAUGUACCUAUAGUAGCAUUCAAGUAAUACCCUUUGAUUUCACCUAUUUCAGUCUGUGCUUUAAAAAGUGCUUCGGCACAAAAUAAGAAACGAUCUCUCCAACACAUAAAUAGUUAUGAGUUCACGUUCUCAUCGCUUUGGUAAAAUCAAGUCCGCCGCGAAGACAUUCAUAAACAGCUCUACCAUAGUUUUUAGUAGAUAACCCCAAUUUAGGUUUAAUAGUACAUCCCAACUGGGGACGACCGUACUUGUUUAAUUUAUCUCUUUCAACUUGGAUCCCAUGAGGCAGACCUUGGAAAGUUUUAAUAUAAGCAGUAGGGACUCACAAAUCUUCUAGACGUAGAGCGCGCAGGGCUUUGAACCUAAAUACAUUACCUACAAUGGAAGUAAACAUGUUGGUAACGGAACCUUCUUCAAAAAGGUCUAAAGGGUAGGCUAUAUAAGCAAUAUAUUGAUCUUUUUCUCCAACAACACGCUUGAUGCGGUAGCAUCGCCCAUUGCAAUGAUCAAUACUGGUAAGUCCAUCGGUCCAUAACUGUCCAUGUACCAGCAGAAGAUUCGACAGCUACCGCGGCCCCUACUUCUUCAGGUGGAACUCCAUGUUGAGGAGUUACUUGGAAUGCUGCCAAUAUAUCAGUAUCCUUGGUUUGGUACUCAGGAGUAUAAUAAGUCAAUUUGUACUCUUUAACACCAGCUUUGAAUCCAACACUUGCUUUAGUCUCUGUUUGUGGUGACAUAAAUCUCUCCCUACAACUCAUGAAUUAAGAAUUCUCAUAACAUCAAGGUCUACUCGACACGAAUUACGCGUUAAUGAAACUUUUCAUAGGAAUCGUUCAGAAAAUUUCCAACUAAUACUAAUAUUAUCAAUUAAUCGGAAUGGUUGAUUAUUAGACCAUGGUAUUUGUUUUUCCAAAUACAUCAUUAUUGUAUACUCUUUCAUAUAUAUAGCGCAACCCAAUUUUUAUUUUUUACCUUUUUAUUUUAAAUGGAAAUACCUAACUAACCUAAAUAAUAAGAACUUCCCCCUUGACAGUGGUAUAUGUUGUAUAUGUAAAUCCUAAAUGUGAAAAUAUAUGGAAUUCCGCUAUGAAAGGUAUAAAAAAGAAAGAAAAAUGCAAAGAAAAUAGUAGUCUAGGCAUAAAUCAAUAUGAUGAAAUUUAACUAAAAAAUAAAUAAGAAAAAUACGAAGAGGAGCCCAUUAGAUCCAAAUAGUGAAUCUUAAUAGAAAUAUAAAAUAAAGUUCAGGUUUGAAUUCCAUAGAAUAGAUAAUAUGGAUGGGAUUGUCUAUAAUGAUAGAUAAAUGAAAGACUUUCUAAAGAUUCUGAUUCAUCCACUUGAGAUUUUUAAAUUAAAAUAGGUUGGGUGAGCUUGCAAAUUAACUCAAUCUCAUUGAAUAAGUAAACAAUUGAAUUGGUUCAAUUGCAUGGUGCCAACGAAAUCGAGUGCUAAUUCCCAUUUUAUUGAAUUAACCGAUCGACGUGCUAUCGGACAUUUACUUUGAAUUCGAUAAUUUUUGAAAAAACAUUUCGACAUAUUUAUUUAUUUUUAUUUUAUUAUUAUGAGAAUCAAUCCUACUACUUCUGGUUCUGGGGUUUCCACGCUUGAAAAAAAAAACCUGGGGCGUGUCGUCCAAAUCAUCGGUCCGGUACUAGAUGUAGCCUUUCCCCCGGGCAAGAUGCCGAAUAUUUAUAACGCUCUCGUAGUUCAAGGUCGAGAUAGUGUUGAUCAACCAAUUAAUGUGGCUUGUGAGGUACAGCAAUUAUUAGGAAAUAAUCGAGUUAGAGCUGUAGCUAUGAGUGCUACAGACGGUUUAACGAGAGGAAUGGAAGUGAUUGACACAGGAGCUCCUAUAAGUGUUCCGGUCGGGGGGGCGACUCUGGGACGAAUUUUUAACGUGCUCGGAGAGCCUGUUGAUAAUUUAGGGCCUGUAGAUACUAGUACAACGUCUCCUAUUCAUAGAUCUGCGCCCGCCUUUAUACAGUUGGAUACAAAAUUAUCUAUUUUUGAAACAGGAAUUAAAGUAGUAGAUCUUUUAGCCCCUUAUCGCCGUGGAGGAAAAAUCGGACUAUUCGGGGGGGCUGGAGUGGGUAAAACAGUACUCAUUAUGGAAUUGAUUAACAAUAUUGCUAAAGCUCACGGGGGCGUAUCCGUAUUUGGCGGAGUGGGUGAACGUACUCGGGAAGGAAAUGAUCUUUACAUGGAAAUGAAAGAAUCUGGAGUGAUUAAUGAAGAAAAUAUUGCAGAAUCAAAAGUGGCCCUAGUUUACGGUCAGAUGAAUGAACCACCAGGAGCUCGUAUGAGAGUUGGUUUGACUGCCCUAACUAUGGCGGAAUAUUUCCGAGAUGUUAAUGAGCAAGACGUACUUCUAUUUAUUGACAAUAUCUUCCGUUUCGUCCAAGCAGGAUCCGAAGUAUCGGCCUUAUUGGGUAGAAUGCCCUCCGCUGUGGGUUAUCAACCGACCCUAAGUACUGAAAUGGGUUCUUUACAAGAAAGAAUUACUUCUACCAAAGAAGGGUCCAUAACCUCUAUUCAAGCAGUUUAUGUACCCGCAGACGAUUUGACCGACCCUGCUCCUGCUACGACAUUUGCACAUUUAGAUGCUACUACCGUACUAUCAAGAGGAUUGGCUGCCAAAGGUAUUUAUCCAGCAGUAGAUCCUUUAGAUUCAACGUCAACCAUGCUUCAACCUCGGAUCGUUGGUGAGGAACAUUACGAAACCGCCCAACGAGUUAAGCAAACUUUACAACGUUACAAAGAACUUCAGGACAUUAUAGCUAUCCUUGGAUUGGACGAAUUAUCCGAAGAGGAUCGUUUACUCGUAGCAAGAGCGCGAAAAAUUGAGCGUUUCUUAUCACAACCCUUUUUCGUAGCAGAAGUAUUUACCGGUUCUCCAGGGAAAUAUGUUGGUCUAGCAGAAACAAUUCGAGGAUUUCAAUUGAUCCUUUCCGGAGAAUUAGAUGGUCUUCCUGAACAGGCCUUUUAUUUGGUAGGUAAUAUCGAUGAAGCUACCGCGAAGGCUAUGAACUUAGAAAUGGAGAGCAAUUUGAAGAAAUGACCUUAAAUCUUAGUGUACUGACUCCUAAUCGAAUUGUUUGGGAUUCAGAAGUGGAAGAAAUCGUGUUAUCUACUAAUAGUGGUCAAAUUGGCAUAUUACCAAAUCACGCCCCUAUUGCCACAGCUGUAGAUAUAGGGAUUUUGCGAAUACGCCUUAACAACCAAUGGUUAACGAUGGCUCUGAUGGGUGGUUUUGCUAGAAUAGGCAAUAAUGAGAUCACUGUUUUAGUAAAUGAUGCGGAGAAGGGUAGUGACAUUGAUCCACAAGAAGCUCAGCAAACUCUUGAAAUAGCGGAGGCUAAUGUGAAAAAGGCUGAAGGAAGGAGACAAAAAAUUGAGGCAAAUCUAGCUCUCCGACGAGCUAGAACACGGGUGGAGGCUAUCAAUCCGAUUUCAUAACUAGUUAGUACGACUAGUUAGUACGUUCGAAUAAUAAAAAGAAGUUCUCUUUCUAAUCCUAUUUAGAUUCUGUCGGGUGAAUACAAUCAAAUACAAUCAAACAGAAGCCAAUUCUGAUGCAAAAAUUCAAAUUUAAAAAUGAAAUAGAAAAGAUACAAAAUCAAAAAAUAAAUAUCACUAAAGGUGGGUCGUAAACCUUAUUAGAUACCAUUGACUCUGGUAUCUAAUAAGUUUUACCUACUAUUGGAUUUGAACCAAUGACUCCCGCCGUAUGAAAGCAGUACUCUAACCACUGAGUUAAGUAGGUCAUUUAUCAUUCCAAAGAGAACCAAACGAAACCCAUCCUGUCGAUGGAUUAUAAAUAUCAUAUUACUUAUAAGCAAUACUAAUCUAAUAAGCAAUACUAAUCUAAGGAAUACCACUCAAAGAGAUCAAAGAUUGUUGAUGUUGGAUCAUGGAAUAUUUAUCUUGACAAGAAUUUAUCUACAUGAUAAAAUAUGUAUCACAAGCACUAAGGGCUAUAGCUCAGUUGGUAGAGCAACUCGUUUACACGCGCGCCAAUGUUUUUCAAGGGAGUUCAUCAUACAAUCAGAAAAAUCGAUCUUGUUGAGAAAUCGAUGUCUUACUCCAUAACUUUGAGGGAACCAUAGCCUGACAAAGGGUUCGGUCCAAUUUGGACGUCCAUUUAGGAGGUGCCAAACAGACCCCAUCAUUGAUUUGAGAUCUUGAUAAGGUGAAUACCCAGUCUAUUCAAUGCUAGGCAUAAUGAGAGUAUAAGGACCUCAAAAAAAUCUCUUUUCGUCAUAUGAACUUUAAGGUGUAUGAAGUUUCAUAUUUGAUUUUUUAAGCAGAAACGAUAGAGACUUCAUUUAACUUAGGUUUAUUUAGGCCAGAGACAGACCUACGUCAAGAUAAUCCCACCUUUGAAACACUUUGGUAAUGCUCCCAAAUAAUGAAUCAGAGCACAUGGAGCCAUUUCCUUAUCUUUUUUUCUGUCAAGAAAAAAAAUGGCAGACUAACUGCUAUAAAUAUCAGUUAAUGAAAGAGCCCAAUGCAAAAAAAAUGCAUGUUGGGUCUUUGAAACAGUUCAGAUCAUUUUAAUAAUAAUAAGUUAGAUAUGUUUUACUGAGAAAGUCUACGGUUCAAGUCCGUAUAGCCCUAUAAAAUAAAAUAAAAAUGAAAAAAAAUUGUAUAAUUCUCAUUUAUUCAUUAUUAUUUCUUGCUUGUAACUAAGUGAAAUUCAACUAUUCCUAUAAGUUUACUCAUGGCAAUCAUUUAAGUUUAAGCAGAUGAAAGAAACAACGCAUAUCAAUGGAUCCAAUCAAUAUUUAUUUUGUCAUUUGCAGAUAAAAAAACCAACCUUUCGUCAUUAAUCUUCGGAGGCGAAUUACAUAUUCAUAUCCACAAUAAAAGAAUUAGUGAUACCCCCUUUCUUUUGAUAUCCCCAAUCUUAUUGAAUUUUGGAAGUCAAAUCAUUUCACGGGCUUAGUGAAAUGAAAAACUACGAAGAGGAAUUCACAUGGAUUUAGGAAGGGACUGCUGUAUUUGUGUACAAGCUAAAGUUUUUUGAAAAACGAAUAUCUUUGGUCACUUUCAUUAUCAAAUAGGCUUUUCCUUCGUAUACCUUACUUACCUCGACCUAGCGAAGCACAACACAAAAAAGGUAGUCUUCUUUUUCUGUAUUCAACCAAGAAAAACCCCUCCACCUGGAUUCGAAUCCUAAUACUAUUAUUAAAUAAUAAUAAAAUAAUAAAAGGAAUAUACCAACACAAGAUCUUCUAAAUCUUGAGAUGGAAGUUCCUAUACAUUCUCUUCUAUUUGAUUACUUGUUCCAUUCUAGAUCACUAAAUCACUAAGAAAAAAAAUUAAAAUAAAGACCUCCUGAUUCUAUUUAUUCUAUUUAUAGAAAAAAAUAGAAAUAUUUAAAGAAUUUCUAAUUAAAGAAGAAAAAUUAAAGAAGAACUAAGAUAAUUAAUUAAUUUAGAAUUCCCCGUCUUUAGUUUAGAGAAAAAAACAAGAGAAAGAGGAGAAUUUGUAUAAGAGUAAUAUAUAGUUAGAAGGUUCUACUAACUAAAUAAAAUGGAAAUAAGUAUAAUGGAAAUAAAAUCGGAUUCCAGUCGAUGAAUCUUGCAAUGAGAUAUGCCCUACAAUAAACCAAUAAACAAAGCCAAACUAGGUGGUUUGAUCAAAAUGAAUUCUUGUUUUGACUAAUAUAGUUAUGGAUGGCUUGACAAUUACAAUGCGAAUCAACCAAUCGAAUCCGGUAUAUUUUCCACGUUCAUAGGAGUUUGUUUAUGUUUCUGAUUUACGAAUAUGAUUUUUUUGGGGCAUUUCUAAUAAUAUCCAUCCUUGUUCCUAUUUUGGCAUUUUUCAUUUCCAGAGUGUUAGCCCCAAUUAACAAAGGGCCGGAGAAACUUUCUACUUAUGAGUCGGGUAUAGAACCAAUAGGUGAUGCUUGGUUAUAAUUUCGAAUCUGUUAUUAUAUGUUUGCUCUAGUUUUUGUUAUUUUUGAUGUUGAAACGAUUUUUCUUUAUCCAUGGGCAAUGAGUUUCGACGUAUUGGGUGUAUCUUAUUUAUAGAAGCUUUGAUUUUUGUGCUUAUCUUAAUUAUUGGUUUAGUUUAUGCAUGGCGAAACGGGGCAUUGGAAUGGUCUUAGCUCCUGAAUAUUCAGACAAUAAAAAGAAAAACGGAAAAAAUAAGAUUGAGACAAUAAGAUUGAGACAGUUAUAAAUUCCAUUUAGUUUCCUUUACUUGAUCGAACAACCCCAAAUUCAGUUAUUUCAACUAUAUUAAAUGAUCUUUCAAAUUGGUCAAGACUCUCUAGUUUAUGGCUUCUUCUCUAUGGUACCAGUUGUUGCUUUAUUGAAUUUGCUUCACUAAUAGGCUCAUACUUCGACUUUGAUCGUUAUGGACUAGUACCAAGAUCGAGUCCUAGACAAGCAGAUCUCUGAUUUUAAGGCUAGAACAGUAACAAUGAAAAUGGCCCCCUCUUUAGUGAGAUUAUAUGAGCAAAUGCCUGAACCAAAAUAUGUUAUUGCUAUGGGAGCCUGUACAAUUACAGUUAGGAUAUUCAGUACUGAUUCUUAUAGUAUUAUUUGGGGAGUCGAUAAGCUAAUUCCUGUAGAUGUAUAUUUGCCUGGUUGCCCACCUAAACCGGAAGAAGUUAUAGAUGCUAUAACAAAACUUCAUAAGAAAAUAUCUCGAGAACUCUAUGAAGAUCGAAUUAGGUCUCAACGAGUGAAUCGGUGUUUUACUACCAAUCACAAGUUUCAUAUUCGAUGCAGUAUUCAUACAGGAAAUUAUGAUCAAAGAGUUCUUUAUCAACCACCAUCUACUUCAAAGAUCCCUACGAAAAUUUUUUCUAAAUACAAAAAUUUAGUAUCUUCCCCCGAAUUAGUGAAUUAGACAGGAUUCCUUUGACCAGAAUAUGAAGUAGUGGGUCAAUUUUCAUAAAUUUAAUCGUAAAUGUGAAAUACUUAUACAAAUAAAUAUGUGGGAGAGAUAAAAAAGAUGCAGGGUCAUUUGUCUGCUUGGCUAGUCAAUAUGGGCUAAUUCAUAGAUCUUUGGGCUUUGAUUACCAAGGAAUAGAGACUUUACAAAUAAAGCCCGAGAAUUGGCAUUCCAUUGCUGUCAUUUUUUAUGUAUAUGGGUAAAAUUAUCUCCGCUCUCAAUGUGCCUAUGAUGUAGCGCCUGGCGGGCUGUUAGCUAGUGUGUAUCAUCUUAUGAGAAUAGACGAAGGUGUGGAUUAACCAGAAGAGGUAUGCAUAAAAGUCUUUUCCUCCAGGAGGAAUCCUAGAAUUCCAUCUAUUUUUUGGGUUUGGAAAAGUGUGGAUUUUCAAGAACGAGAAUCAUAUGAUAUGUUGGGAAUCUCUUAUGAUAAUCAUCCAUGCUUGAAACGUAUCUUAAUGCCUAAAAGUUGGAUAGGAUGGCCCUUACGUAAGGAUUAUAUUGCCCCCAAUUUUUAUGAAAUACAAGAUGCUCAUUGAAUGAUAAGAAAGCUAUUUCCACUUAGACAAUUUAAGAUAUUCAAGGAUUGCAUAUUCUGUUCUAGAUUAAGCAAGUCUAAUUUAGGGAAUUAUCAAUAGGCUAACAAAAAAAGACAAUUAGGGAUUCAUUGUAAUUCUCACAUUUUUUGGAAGAUACUUAUUUCGUAUGAGUGAUACCAAUAGGAUAAACCAAAUGAGUUAUGCAUCAUGAACUUUGUACUGCGCACAUUACUUAUACGGGUUCUAGAAGGGCAUAUAGGAAGGGAUGGAGAAAUCUGGAAUGAAGAAAUCGAAUAUGAAAGAAAAGACAAAGAAAUGAUAGAAUAUCAAAUUCUAUUUCUUUGGAUCUGAGCUGAAUCUUGUCUAUUUCAACCCCCUUGGAUUCGACUUUUUAGCCUUUCAACAAUUAGAUAAUUUUACCUUUCAAAUAUGUAUUACGUAUUCAAAUUUUUUUGAACGAGAGGAGAAAAAAAAAGGAGAUAGAAUCUAAUUCUUUUUGAUACUUUAUCUAAGAAACUCUACCCAUAUAGAACAUGGUAUGGGGUAUAUCUCGCGAAACUGGAUAAAGCUAUUAUUCUAAUCUAGACACUAAAAGAAUAUGUAUGUUGAUUCAUAUCAAUUAAUUAGAAAUUAAUUCUAGUGAAGAGAGACCCAUACAAAUUAAUCAUGUGCCAGGAACCAGAUUUGAACUGGUGACACGAGGAUUUUCAGUCCUCUGCUCUACCAACUGAGCUAUCCCGGCUAUUCCCAAUCCAGAUUUUUUAUCAAGGUUGGGACUGGUAACCCGAGGAUUUUCAGGGCUAUACCAAUCCCAAUUGGAACCUCGAACAUGAGAAUUUUAAGUCCCCGUUAACAGGAGGAUUUAGAGUCCUCUGGUCUUCCCAAUUGGAACCGUUCGUUAACAUGAGGAUUUUUAGUUUUCUGCUUGUUACUCAGUUCUCUGCUUGUUACUCUAAUUUUAUCUUAACAAAUUUGAUCUUAACACAUAAACGGGUCUUUGUCAAUAGGUCUUUGUCAAUUAAAAGGACAAAAGUCGAUUAAAAAAUUUUAUCAAAGCCGGGGAAUUUCUUCGAUCUUCAAAAAGAUGACUUUGUAAGUUUCAGUAUUGAGUAAUGAUAUUGGUAAUCAUUCAACUAGGGAUUCCUUGCUCAAAGAUGUUCAGUUCUAUGUGUAUCAUAUAUAUCACAAGGCUUAAGAGAAAGCCAUUUACGCUAAAAUCCAUUUCUAAAAGAAAAAUCCAUUUCUAAAAGAAUAGAGUGAAUGAGAAAGAUAAGUAAUUUGGAACUGCUAAGGAAAGGGGGUCGGAGAAAUAGUUGGGGGUUGAAAUAGUCUUUUUGGGGAUAGAGGGACUUGAACCCUCACGAUUUUAAAAGUCGACGGAUUUUCCUCUUACUAUAAAUUUCAUUGUUGCCAGUAUUGACAUGUAGAACGAGACUCUAUCGUUAUUCACGUCCUAUUAAUCAGUUCUUCAAAAGAUCUAUCAGACUAUGGAGUGAAUGAUUUGAUUAGGGAUUCGGGUCGUUAUUAAUCAUUUGAUAUAGUAUUCAAUACGUAUGUAUAUACGUUUAUCCUUCACUUCAUUCUUUUUCUUUCUGAAGUUUCGAUGUAAAGAUUCCUCUACCAACACAUUUAACUCCAUUUGUUAGAAUAGCUUCCAUUGAGUCUCUGCACCUAUCCUUUUUUUCUGAACCUUUAUUUGUUUUCAGAAAAUAGGAUUUGGCUCAGGAUUGCCCAUUUUUGUUCAUUCCAGGGUUUCUCUGAAUUUGAAAGUGAUCACUUAGUAAGUUUCCAUACCAAGGCUCAAUCCAAUUAAGUCCGUAGCGUCUACCGAUUUCGCCAUAUCCCCCUUUCUUUUUGUUUUGAGAUUAGGAUCUCGUUGUGAUGUCAUUCCUUUUUCUUUUUCUUUCAUUUAUACUGGAACCAUUGAAUUCAUUAGAUACCGAUUCCUAUCUCGAAAACGUGUUUUCUCCUCUUUGAUUUUCUUAACUAUCUUCUAUAGGCGACCUUUUUUUAUCCAAUAAAAAAUGAUUUUAUCAUCUCGGAAUCCACAAUUCAAUAUAGAUGGAUCUAUACCCAAUCUAUAUGUCUCUCUUCUUGUUAUUUUGCCAUUCAAUUUGGAAUGCUUAAACGAUCAAUUCUUGUUUUUUAUCAUCACUUUUGCCUAUAAGCGGAGGAAUGUCUCAUUAAUUAUAACUAACCAUUCCAUUAAACAAUUUUGAAAUAACUAUAGAAUGAGAGAUAUAUAUGAUAUAGAAUCAAAUAUAGAACUGUAGUAAAAAAGAUUUCAAAUGCCAAAAAAAGAAAUGAAAAAGAAUAUUUACCAUUCAAAUUGAAAAUGAAAAGAAAAAGAAUAUUAACAAUGUUUGCAAUCACUAUUUAAUGAUAUUAGCAUUAGAAUUGUUAUUAGAAUUAUGAUAAAUCGAAAUUCUAGAUCGCUAUAGUAAUCCUUAUGCUCUAGAAUCUAGAAUAUUCAAUACAAUAUUGAAUAGUUAAUAAUUCCAAUUCUAUUAGUUUAGGCAAUUACUAUGCAUAUAAGAUUUCUGUGAUGUGGGCCUGCUUAGCUUAGAGGUUAAAGCAUCACAUUUGUAAUACGAUGGUCAUUGGUUCGAUUCCGAUAGCCGUCUUUUCCCUAUUCUUUGAUUUCAGAGAAACAUUAUCAAUCAUCUAAAAAAUGGAAUAAAAAGAAUAGGGAAAUAACGCCUUUCUCCUUUUCCAAAAGCUAUCAAUUUAUUAUAGGAACUUCCAAUUAUGUCAGGAAAGGAUUAUAUAUAUAAUAGAAGGGGUUCUGUAUAUUUAUCCAAUUCACCCCAUUCUUCUUUUCUUUAUAGUAUUUAUAUUAAAUAGUAAUAGUACAAGUACAUUAUUUCAAUAAACUUCGCUUCAUUUAGUUCAGUUUAGUUUUAGUUUAGGUUUAUUAUGUAAAAUAAAAUUCAAUAAAAAAUAAAUAGAAAUAAGAAUUAAUUCGAAAUACUAAAUAAGAAAUAAGAAUAAGGAGUCUUUAUGUCGUGUUACCGAGGACCUCGUUUCAAAAAAAAUACGACGCCUUGGGGCUUUACCAGGACUAACUAAUAAAAAGACUAGGACCGGAAAUGAUCUUAGAAACCAAUCGCGUUUUGGAAAAAAAAUCUCAAUAUCGUAUUCGUCUAGAAGAAAAACAAAAAUUGUGUUUUCAUUAUGGUCUUAUAGAAUGACAAUUACUUAACUACGUUCGUAUCGCCAGAAAAGCCAAGGGGUCAACAGGUCAAGUUUUACUACAAUUACUUGAAAUGCUCUUGGAUAACAUCCUUUUUCGAUUGGGUAUGGCUUCAACUAUUCCUGUAGCUCAUCAAUUAGUUAACCAUCGACAUAUUUUAGUUAAUGGUCGUAUAGUAGAUAUACCGAGUUAUCGCUGCAAACCCCAAGAUAGUAUUACGUCAAAGAAUGAACAAAAAUCCAGAGCUCUGAUUCAAAUUUCUCUAGAUUCAUCCCCUCAUGAGGAAUUACCAAAUCAUUUAACCCUUCACCCAUUCCAAUAUAAAGGAUUAGUCAAUAAAAUAAUAGAUAGUAAAUGGGUCGGUUUGAAAAUAAAUGAAUUGAUAGUCGUAGAAUAUUAUUCUCAUCAGACUUAAACCUCAGACUAAAACCAAGGGUUCGUAAAAUUUUCUUCCCUUUAGGCGAAGUAAAUUAACCCAAGGUUAAGUAAGAUAAAUCCGAGUUUGAUCUGGAUUUCCCCCAUUUUUGUAUCAUAGACCAAGGAUCUAUUUUCAUUCCUUGUUUUCAUUCCUUGUCUACUCUUUUCUUUCCAGUAUUUUGAUUAUGAUUAUUUUUUAGUAUUCUAUUUUACAUGUCAAAGUAAUUAGGAAUUGAGAAUCUAUAUCUUUAGAUCAAAGAAGGUUCUAGCUAUUGGAAUAAUGGUAUCCAUUGCUAUUUGAGCCCUUGUUGUUAGUAAAAUUGGUGAAUUAAAUGAAGGUGCGGAAAGAGAGGGAUUCGAAGCCUCGAUAAACAAAAGCCUGCAUAGCAGUUCCAAUGCUACGCCUUGAACCACUCAGCCAUCUCUCCUACAUAAUGAUUAUGACCCCAAAACCGAGUGCAUAGUGAGUCAGUCAUAACCCAUAUUCCAUUAUAAGACUAGGUACGGCCAAUCCAUUUUAACUUAAACUAAAAAAUUUUCAUCAAAGUCAAAGCAAAGAACGAUUUUUCUUUCCUUCAAGGCUCUGGGAUAAAGAUAGAAUUUUUCAUAAAAAUUGUUAAAACAAUUCAAUUCAUAUUUCCAAAAGCAACGUUCCCUUCUUUUUCUGAUAUUUUUAUAAUGGAUUAAUUCAAUGAAUUAGAACGAAUCAACUGAUUGAUGGUCUAUAUCUUUUAGACUAGAGUUAAUGGCUACUCUUAAAUCAUAAUUCUAAUUAUAUAGAUGUAGACUAUGAUUCCAUACCAGAAAAUUUCUCAAAUUCCUUUUCGGUUUUGGAGUUCUCAACAACAAAUACCAACCCCUCUAUUAGAAUAGAAAUUCAUAAACAAAUUGAGAUUUGAUUGUAUAGUGUAUACCCGUUAUGCACACAAAAUUGUCAGUUAUUCUAUUUUCAACCUCAGAUGCUAUGUUUCAAUUCUCAAUUUUAGUAUUAAGUGAAAGGUUACACCUAGAGGUUCUGUAUUACGGGUCAAUCCUACUCUACUAGAGCUAAUAGGCAGCAUAGGGGAAGAAGCGCUACACCUAGGAAUCAACAACACGAAAACUUUGUUCUAAGUCAUCCUAUCCCUUAGCGGGCUUGGGACUAAAAAAAUGGUUGGGACAACAAACAUCCAUCUUGUUUGUCCUUUGGAUACCCGUAUAACCAUCGAAGGCUAUUGAAGUGACUAAUUCUUGUAAAUUAGGAGGCGUUAAAAAAAAUAAAUUAUUGGAGUUAUCUUAUCAUUUGUAUCUAGUCCCAAUAGGCUUGAUGUUAAGAAAGAAUCUCUCGCAGGAAGGUUGGCUAGAGAUUUCUUGUAAAAAUGCUAGCCCUUCUGAGUUCAUAAUGAGAAUAUUUUCAUCAUUAAAUCUUUUUUUAUUCUAUAUAUUAUUCUCAUUAUGCACAUAAGGUAGGAGCCGUAUGAGGUGAAAUUCUCACGUACGGUUCUGGAACGGAGAUUCUUUCAAUUGAAUGACGACCGUAAUGGAUGUCGGCUCAAUCCGAAGGAAAUUACGCGGAAGCUUUGCAGAAUUAUUAUGAAGCUAUGCGACUAGAAAUUGAUCCCUAUGAUCGAAGUUAUAUCCUCUAUAAUAUGGGGCUUAUCCACACAAGUAAUGGAGAACAUACGAAAGCUUUGGAAUAUUAUUUUCGAGCACUAGAACGAAACCCAUUCUUACCACAAGCUUUUAAUAAUAUGGCCAUGAUCUGUCAUUAAGUGCGACUAUCUCUACUAUAGAAAGUAAAAAAAAUCUAGUAAAGUAACUAGUAGAACCAAAUAGGUUUUCUACAUAUGCAUCGUCUAAAACAAUGAUUUUUAUCAGCUGUAGCAAAGAAAGAAACUUUAUAGAAGUCAAAAUAGGAAAAAAUAAAAAUGCCUAGCAACUUUUGCUAUGGAUAUAAAGCUUUAAUUGAUAGAGAGAGAGGAAUCACCGUAAAGAUCAAUUAGCGAGGUUUUGGGCCGAUACAAUAAUAACUGUGUACUUAUCUCAUAAUGUGAGAUAAGAAUUAGGAAUUAACUUAUGUAAUAGAGUCGAUCCACUAAAGUCUUGAGCAGCGGUGUAGGAUCAGAUCCCAAAGAUAGUAAGUAUUUUCUUUCUUAUGAAAGAAAGUCUUUUUCAAAGAUUCUAUAUAAAUUUAUCUAUGAAACCGAGAUAGUUACCUUUCAGAAAAUUCUACCAGUAGUAGAAAUGCCUAUGCUUUAUUCUUCUGAAGGUGGGAAAAAAGAUAAAACUAAAUAAACGGAUUAUUCAUCCAAAUUUCAGUUUGAAACUCAUGUAAUUAACCUAUUUUUCUUUUGGUUAACCCUAAAACUGGGAUAGAUCCAUGAGAAAUCUGAUUAGAUAGAUAUGGUAUAGAUCAAAAUGGGACACCAAAAGAAUUGACUGCUGAGCCGUAUGAGGUAAGAAAUUCUCAAGUACGGUUCUAAGGGAAGGAAUUGAACUACCUAUUCCGGCCGGGGAGAACAGGCCAUUCAACAGGGAGAUUCUGAAAUUGCAGAGGCUUGGUUCGAUCAAGCCGCUGAGUAUUGGAAACAGGCUAUAGCGCUUAC